UUUCCGUAGGUGAACCUGCGGAAGGAUCAUUCAUAAUAAAGUGUUUUAUGGCACUUUUUAAAAAUCCAUAUCCACCUUGUGUGCAAUGUUAGAUCUCGUCAAUCUUGGCGAGAUUUUUAUACAUCAACUCAUUCUUUAACUAAUUUGUCUGAAAAAUAUUAUGAAUACUUAAUUCAAAAUACAACUUUCAACAACGGAUCUCUUGGCUCUCGCUUCGAUGAAGACGCAGC
rnacentral:misc_RNA from 1 species